CAGAUUGAACGCUGGCGGCAUGCCUUACACAUGCAAGUCGAACGGUAACAGGGUUAAGCUGACGAGUGGCGAACGGGUGAGUAAUAUAUCGGAACGUGCCCAGUCGUGGGGGAUAACGUAGCGAAAGCUACGCUAAUACCGCAUACGAUCUAUGGAUGAAAGCGGGGAUCGCAAGACCUCGCGCGAUUGGAGCGGCCGAUAUCAGAUUAGGUAGUUGGUGAGGUAAAGGCUCACCAAGCCGACGAUCUGUAGCUGGUCUGAGAGGACGACCAGCCACACUGGGACUGAGACACGGCCCAGACUCCUACGGGAGGCAGCAGUGGGGAAUUUUGGACAAUGGGCGCAAGCCUGAUCCAGCAAUGCCGCGUGCAGGAUGAAGGCCUUCGGGUUGUAAACUGCUUUGUACGGAACGAAACGGUGAGCUCUAAUACAGUUUGCUAAUGACGGUACCGUAAGAAUAAGCACCGGCUAACUACGUG
rnacentral:rRNA from 1 species